rnacentral:rRNA from 1 species
AACGAACGCUGGCGGCGCGCCUAACACAUGCAAGUCGAACGAGAAUCCGGGGCAACCCGGUAGUAAAGUGGCAAACGGGUGAGGAAUACAUGGGUAACCUACCCUUGAGAAGGGAAUAACCCGCCGAAAGGUGAGCUAAUACCCUAUACGCUAUCUUUUUUUCGAAAAGGAUAGGAAAGCCGGGUCGAGGACCUGGUACUCAAGGAGGGGCUCAUGUCCUAUCAGCUUGUUGGUGGGGUAACGGCCUACCAAGGCUACGACGGGUAGCUGGUCUGAGAGGAUGAUCAGCCACACUGGCACUGAGAUACGGGCCAGACUCCUACGGGAGGCAGCAGUGAGGAAUAUUGGUCAAUGGGCGCAAGCCUGAACCAGCCAUCCCGCGUGCAGGAAGACGGCCCUAUGGGUUGUAAACUGCUUUUCCAGGAGGAGAAAUUUACGUACGCGUUACGUAUUGUACGGUACCCUGGGAAUAAGCAUCGGCUAACUCCGUG